rnacentral:lncRNA from 1 species
AGGCCAUGGUGGGUGCAGAGCUCAGAGCCGGAAAGCAAACAGCUGCUGUAGCCUGAUUUGAGUUAAAAUAGUGUGAGUGUUUAGUCUGGCGCACGGCUUCAGGGGAGAUUGGCAGCUGGGUCAAACAAAGUCCUUCCAUUGGCUCCCUUCCCAGGCAGCUUCUGCUAGUGUUUAGGUACUAGUGCAGUGUAGAACCCUUUUCUCAGGCAAAACCUAACAUCUGACCGCACCCUUUUUGCUAUUAAAAAAAAAAAAAAGCUUCUAUUUUUUUCCUCCUGUCGUUAAGAUAAAUUCUCCAGUAGACAACCUCUCCCACUAAUUGUGUAUUAGCAACGUAUUUUAUCUUGAGAGCUUGUACACUGGGCUCUCAACGUGGUGUGGAAGGUAGCCUGUUACAGUGCUGGAUUCAUAAAAGGGCCUUUAUGGUUUGUGAAAGAAUAUCUGUGUGCUUAGGGAGGAAACUUUUUGAUCUGCAGAAAAGCCAGAAGACAUCUAGGACAUCCAUAAAAAUUCAUCAGAGAGCAUUUUACUACUGAGCUGCAAAGAUGACAAGAGCACCUCAAAGGCAGCAGCCUCAAGGAGCAGCCAUGGCCCCAGACUUGUCGCACGGAUGCAGAAAACUUAAUGGAGGAGGCUGAGGUCAGAAUGGGAAGAGUUUUUAAAAAAUAAAAAGGGGAGCUAAUAUGUGAGGAACUGAUUGCUG